CACGUAGGGGGCAAGCGUUGUCCGGAUUUAUUGGGCGUAAAGAGCUCGUAGGCGGUUCGGUAAGUCGGGUGUGAAACCUCCAGGCUCAACCUGGAGAGGCCACCUGAUACUGCUGUGACUCGAGUCCGGUAGGGGAGCGUGGAAUUCCUGGUGUAGCGGUGAAAUGCGCAGAUAUCAGGAGGAACACCAGCGGCGAAGGCGACUCUUUGGCCUGUAACUGACGCUGAGGCGCGAAAAGCGUGGGGAGCAAACAGG
rnacentral:rRNA from 1 species